rnacentral:rRNA from 1 species
UACGAAGGGGGCUAGCGUUGUUCGGAAUUACUGGGCGUAAAGCGCACGUAGGCGGAUCGAUCAGUCAGGGGUGAAAUCCCAGAGCUCAACUCUGGAACUGCCUUUGAUACUGUCGGUCUAGAGUAUGGAAGAGGUGAGUGGAACUCCGAGUGUAGAGGUGAAAUUCGUAGAUAUUCGGAGGAACACCAGUGGCGAAGGCGGCUCACUGGUCCAUUACUGACGCUGAGGUGCGAAAGCGUGGGGAGCAAACAGG